CGCGGGAUGGAGCAGUCUGGUAGCUCGUCGGGCUCAUAACCCGAAGGUCGUUGGUUCGAAUCCUUCUCCCGCAACCA
rnacentral:tRNA from 1 species